rnacentral:rRNA from 1 species
CACGUAGGGGGCGAGCGUUGUCCGGAUUUAUUGGGCGUAAAGAGCGUGUAGGCGGCCUGACAGGUCUGCUGUGAAAACUCGAGGCUCAACCUCGAGAUGUCGGCGGAAACCGUCUGGCUAGAGUCCGGAAGAGGAGAGUGGAAUUCCUGGUGUAGCGGUGAAAUGCGCAGAUAUCAGGAAGAACACCUAUGGCGAAGGCAGCUCUCUGGGACGGUACUGACGCUGAGACGCGAAAGCGUGGGGAGCGAACAGG